CUUAGGUGGCGGACGGGUGAGUAACGCGUGGGGAACCUGCCCUGUACAGGGGGAUAACACUUAGAAAUAGGUGCUAAUACCGCAUAAGCGCACAGUGUCGCAUGAUACAGUGUGAAAAACUCCCGGUGGUACAGGAUGGACCCCGCGUCUGAUUAGCUGGUUGGCGGGGUAACGGCCCACCAAGGCGACGAUCAGUAGCCGGCCUGAGAGGGUGAACGGCCACAUUGGGACUGAGACACGGCCCAAACUCCUACGGAAGGCAGCAG
rnacentral:rRNA from 1 species